rnacentral:rRNA from 1 species
UACGUAGGCAGCGAGCGUUGUUCGGAGUUCCUGGGCGUAAAGGGUGUGUAGGCGGUUUUCUAAGUUUGGUGUGAAAUCUCCCGGCUUAACCGGGAGGGUGCGCCGAAAACUGGGAGACUAGAGUGCGGGAUGGGAGAGUAGAAUUCCUGGUGUAGCGGUGAAAUGCGUAGAUAUCAGGAGGAAUACCGGUGGUGCAGACGGCUCUCUGGACCGCAACUGACGCUGAGACACGAAAGCGUGGGUAGCAAACAGG